CCGAAUAAAAGCUGGUGAAUAACUUCCACGUACCAUCAACUCCUUGCAAAAAACGAUAGCAAGAAAUAUUUGACUCUUUCAAGGCAAGUAGUUUGAAAUAAAUCACUAGACUAAUAAAUAAUAAUGACAUUGAAGACAAACCUUAAAUCUUGAUACCUGCAGAUCUCAACAUAUCUGAAAAUAUUAAAGACACAAAGAUCAGGACUGUCAUCCAUAAGCCGAACUUGAUUCAAGUAGUGACCCAAGAUUGUGCAUCACCUCUUUAUCUUUUAAGGAACCCAUCACCAGACUUGUUCAUCCCUGCAUCAUAACGGAAACUCCAACGCGAUCCAACUGACCUAAACAUAGAUCCGGCAGUUCCAACCCAACAAAAC
rnacentral:lncRNA from 1 species